CAUUGUUGCCAGCAUUCUGCCCGCGUUUUAACGGAACAAUUCCAGGUUUUUCAGCUGCACCUUGGUGCUCUUUGUGGUCUCGAUGCCAUUCCCCUCGCCUUUGUAGUCUCAGGGUUUGUCUGGAGCUUGCAAGAGGAGACACCGCCCUUUCCCCCUCCCAAAUGCUGGUUUUCAGGAGAGGAAGGAGGAACUGAUUUCCAGCAAGCCCCGGCACCCGGCAGGGAUUUGUCCCAGUGUCAGAAUUCCCAGCUGCCUGCCCAGCACAGGCAUUGUCAUCACCAGCAGUGACAUCCAAGCAUCCUGUGUGCAACCACCACCUCUGGGGACACUGGAGCAGCUGGUGGCCCGUGGGCUCCUCCUGCCAUGGCUUGGGCUUGUGCUUCAUUUGCCACCACAGCACAUCCUGGUCUGAGGAGACAGAACUGCUUGGGCAACUUGGACCAGCCCUCUUGGAUUGCUGUCAAGGAAACUUCCCCCCCUCCCUGGAUCAUCCCCAGCCCCAUCCCAGCUCAGGCUGAAGGACAGUGCCUGGGGGCUGGUGCCAUCGUGUGGAUAGAGCCGCAAUCAAGAGGAGGAGGAGGAGGAGAGGUGGAAGGUAGAACACUGGGAAAAGGACAAAUUUGGCAUUGUCCAAGUCUGGAUCUAAACCAGGAUCCCUUCUAGAGACACCGGUUUUUGGAGCUUUGCUGUUAGGAAAGCCAAGGCUUGUGUAUCUAAGUACACCCUGAGAACUGAAAACAGAGCUGGAUAAAUGAAGAGGGAACACAAAAUUCCGACUCUCAAGUUUGUCUUUAAGAACUUGCCAGUCAUCCAGGAGGAAUUCAAGAUAGCACAGCUAUCAAAAGACGAGGGAUCUGUACUCUGCUUCCAGGAAAGACACAUUUCAUCAUCACAAGGAAAAAUACCGGAUGGCAACCAGCCCCCUCCAAGCUUUCAGCAUUCCUACCUGCACUGCUAAAUCCCAAAAUCCAGCCUUUUCUGCAGUGUGCCUUUUAUCUCAGCAGCACUGCCCUCAAAUGCAGAUUCCAGAGGA